UGCGUAGGCGGUUUGAUAAGUCAGUUGUGAAAUUCCCCGGCUUAACCGGCGGGACUGCGAUUGAUACUGUCAAACUUGAAUCAGGUUGAGGUAGGCGGAAUGUGGCAUGUAGCGGUGAAAUGCAUAGAUAUGCCAUAGAACACCGAUUGCGAAGGCAGCUUGCUGGACCUUGAUUGACGCUGAGACACGAAAGCGUGGGGAGCGAACAGGAUUAGAUACCCUGGUAGUCC
rnacentral:rRNA from 1 species